AACCUAUGUUAAGGACAUUUUUGCUGGAAUUCCCUGAACAUUUCCCACAUCUCAAAUAGAGACUCCAAUUCCGUUUGCACAAAGGAUGAGAUCUCAUUUCUAAGCUU